GCACAACAACUACAAGGUAAGAGAUCAAAUCUUCAACAUCUAAAAAAUGUCGUGUUAAUCACUGUUAAGCUAAAUUUAUAUAUAUUCGAUGAGAUCUUCAAAAAAUUAUUUUGGUGAAAUGAACUUUGUAUGUAUAUUGAUUUCAGUAUAAUGAAGGCAAACUCUAAUAUUUGAUCAUUUGAUGUUUUCUCUUGGAAAGUAAAACUAUCUUGAAAUAUAUUUUUUUUUUUAAUCUUGUUCUCAAGUUUGAUUUGUCUUGAGGGCUUUGCCACUUGUUAUUAUAGGCUUUUAGUUCAGAGUUAUAGCUCUUAAAUUUGAAAAUGGUUUAAGUUUUUAAGUGCCUUUAGCAUUUAAAGACGUGUUUGAUUCUCAACAAUCUAGUCAGUGAUUUACUUUUUUGAAUUCUCUCAAUAUCUUCCUUGGAGUUUUUAACUUCUUAAAUCUUUAAAAGAGCAAAAUAAAAUUAUAUUUGAUGUGUCGGUAUUAAGAGAUUUAGUCUAUUUCAUAAUCUUCAAAUGCUUCAGGGAACCUAUAUUCAAAUAUUUAAAACUUCAAUCUUUGGAUUUUUAGAGCUUUCGAGCUUUGUCGACUUUCAAACCUAUAUAAGAUAUCUCAAGUAUCUUGAUCUUCAAAACUUGAUAAAAAAAAAUUGCACUUUCAAUCAUCCGUCUUUAAAUCCUCAAAACUUUUAAGUGUUAACCUUUUCUUCCAACCCCUAAAAUGAGGAGUAAGACCUCAAUAUAUAUACGAAGAUGCCAAGGGCUUAGCUACAGUUCCUUUUAAGCCAAAAAUUAGGCUAAGUUUGUUCUUUGGCCCAAAAUUCUAGGCAUCGACGUGAAUUAGAUACACUGAAUUUUAAACCAGGACAACUUUAAUUUCUCGAUCCAAUUCAAAUUAUAUUUGAGACUCAAGGAGUAUUAGCCAAGUAUACCAAUCGUGGUCUAGGCUAGAUCACUAGUAAAUUGAACAAGUUAUUUUUGUGAUGAAUGACUACAAAGAAGACACAUGACCUUUUUUUAAUUCACCAUUCAUUAGCAUCCAAAUUUAAAAUUUGAGAAAAUAAUGAUGAAUUGGGUCUAAAAUUGAAUAAAAUGAACUUCUUCCAAAAACAAUAGAUUAUAAUAUUUGGUAAAUAUAUGAAUUGAGGUGUAUAAGAAGAGAAGGUGGCACUUAGAUCUCGAUCUCCAUCUUCUCGAAGACGUGACAGCGACUAUGGACCCACGCGGUUCAAACGCCUCAUCAAUUGCUCCCUUUUUGUUUCUUUCUUUCUUUUUUUUAAAAUAUUAUUAUCAUUAUUAUUAUUAUUAUUCCUUCAUACUUCAUAGUCAUGUUUUAUCUUUUAUCUUUUUUCCUUUUAAUUUCUUAAUUAGUAUUUUAUUUUGAUAAUCGCCCUAAAUAGCAAAAUACAUCAAAUAUUUAUACUUUUUAGAAAAACGAUUAAAAAUAACACAAUAUUUUGAUUCACAAUUAUUUCUAAAAAAUUAAAGAUAAUUAAACAAUAUUUUGAUUCACAAUUAUUUUAAUUUAAAGAUAAUUAAACAAUAUUUUUGUUCACAAUUAUUUCUAAAAAGAUCAAAGAUAAUUAAAUUUUUAUUUUAGUAAUUCUUUUAAAAUGUGUAAACAAUCUUUUUUUAUUAUUCUUGAAAAAUUUAGAGACGUGUUCAAAUAUAACAAAAAAAUUGAAACUAUUUACAAAAGAAAUAUAGUAAAAGUUAUUGAAUUCUAUUUAGCACGUACUUUUAGAUUAUGAAAAAUUGUCAAAAAUAACAAAUUUGACAAAAUAUUUAUAUCAUAUAGCAGAAUUUUAGAUUCUAUCGAUAAUAAUAUAGAAUCCAAAACUUUUGUUAUAGCUUGUAAAUAUUUUAAUUUAUUUUACUAUUUUUAUAUAUUUUGUGAAUAGUUUCUUCAUCAGAAUUUCUAUAUAUAAAACCAAAUAUUGAAAAUUUUUAAUUAUUACAAAAUAACUAAAUGAAAAAAAUAUUUACGGUUAAGACCAAAAUAUAUAUAUAUUUUUAAUUCACUAGUAGUUAUCUUUAUCAAAUAUUAAAAUUUAGUGGUGUAUAUAUAUGUUUAAUUUAAAUAACAUCAUGCAGUUAUAUAAAUAUUAAUAUAUGUAGAGUCAAUUAAUUGUCCUAACAAAAAAAACCUUAUUCCACUUUACUACUUUUAAAACUUCCUAUUUAUUUUCCUUCAAAAAAAAAAAAAAAAAUAGAACUCUACUAUUUAAAGAAUAACAUGGACCCUAUUUAAGUGUAAUUGAGAGUGUUUUCAAGAUGUAGCCCAUGUGCCAUCUCUUUCCUUCCCUCAAUUAAAUAACUAAAAAUAAAGAUGCCCUUUAACUCACCUUUUUCUAUAUUAAAAUAAGUAUUUGAAUAUAUUAUAAUAAUAAAUAUUAAAAAACUACAAAUUUCAUCCUAAUUUUAUUUUUGUUCAAUCUAUAUUGUUUGAUAAAAUAUCAUUAAGUCCAAAAUUUUCAUAAAUUGUUUUCAUAGACGUUGAAGAAUGAAAUCGAAAAAACUAACCCUUAAAAUAGAUAUUUAACGUUUAGACAUAAAUAGAUAUAUAUAUCAACUUGUUGUACAGUCUAUCACAUAUACAAAUUAAAUUUUUGUUAUAUUAAUAAAUAAGUUAGUUGAUUUUGUUAUUUUUGAAAUUGAGGUAAGAGUUUAGGUUAGUUGAGUUGAAGAUGUUAUUAAUUAUUUAAAUUUUUUCUCUUAUCAAAAAAAUGAAAAUUGUCUGAGUUACACUAAUUAUUAGCUAGUAAUAAUUUAUUUUUAAAUUUGAAUCUCUGCAUUUUUUCUUGAAUGAUUAAAUUAAAAGAUUUGUGAGAUACUAGGAAAAAUACAAAAUUCAAAUUGAUUCCUCCAUACAUUAAGGUUGAACAUAAUAAUCAUAUGAAAAACUAUAUAUAUAUAUAUAUAUAUAUAUUAUUAACCACAAUAUGCAAAAUUUGACACUUGUAUAGUUGGGCUAUUGUUCAUUCAAUAAUUAGUCCUUUUGUUUUAUUUUUCUAUUUUAUAAAGAAAAAUUGUUGUGUUUUUAUUUAUAUAUAUCUUUUAAUCAUUACAAAGGCCCAUACUUCGGCCGUCCGACGGCAGGAAUUAUAGAAGUUUGACGCCGGUAAUAUAAUAUAUGAUUUUAUGUUGUCAAUUUAGGUUUUAUUCCAAAAUAGAUUUUAACCAUUAGAUAUUUUUUUCUUGGGUCAUAUUUGAUAAUUUCUUAUAAAUAUUUUUUCUCAAUGAUUAUAAAACAUUUUUGGAAUGUUUUCUCAAUAAUUAAAAGUAAGAUAAUUCUACUCUCUUGACAAUUUAAUUCACUCCUCGUGUCUUUGCUUUUUUUGAAAAAUAAUAUCUAGAAUGGAAAUAGUACUUUUAAUUUCGAAGUUGAUCAUAUAUAUAUAAAAUGUAAGAUUUCAAAUCUCAUAGGUUACGAACUCUAUCAAAUUUUGAAAAGCCUAAACUAAACAACUGAAAAUAUAACCUAAGUUAAACUAGUCUAACUCAAAGCACUCAAAAAUUGUAAAAAAUGGUUUUAUAGAAGGUUUGAACAAUAGAAAAGAACUCCGAUCGAUCGACUUACAUAUAAUAUGAAAUCAUCACAAUAAUAUUUAAAAGUCUACGCAUAUUUUAAUAGGACGAGAUUACCGGAAGAAAUGAAAAAUGAAAAUUAGUGCAAGAUAUAGAAAAAAGAUAGAGAGAAUAAUGAGUGAGCUAAAGUCGUUGGAACAAAGGAAAAGGAGAAAUUAAUGAGAAUAAUGGACCAAGUCUUACAUGCAAGCAUGUAGGAGACAGAAUAUAAACAUACACACACAUAUGUGAAGCAAAUAAUUGAUUGCAAAUACAUGAGACAUAUGACAAUUAGGAAAUAUAAUCAAAGAUAUUAGAAAGAUCCCAAAUUUAUUGAGUUCCGAGAUGGUUUCAAUAUUUGGAAUUAGUAUUUGAUCGAAUUUUGAUAAUCAAAUUCAAACGAUAAUCGAAGAUGAAAAAAUAAGAUGAAGGUCUUUGAGAAUUGCUUGAAUUUCGACCAAAGAAAAAACGAGAGGUAAAUUAUCGUAGUCGAUUGAUGAUGCUGCUACUACAAGGCGGCCUUGACCGUUAUUUUUUAUUUCAUAUGUUGAUUUUUUUGUCAAAAAGAUUUAAUAAGAAUUUUGUUUAUUAUUAUUUUGAAGAUAAAUUAUUAAUUAUAUUAGUAGAUAAAAGAUUGUUAUUUUUAUUAUGAAUCUUUAUCUAUUUCUUUUUAAACAAGAAAAUUUGCGGGGUCUUUAAUUGUGAAGCUUCUCGCAAGUUUAGUGUGCCGAAUUAUUGGACUUUUAUUCGAAGAAAUUCGUGUUGCUGAAGAAGCUUGUUGAAGGUACUUUAGUUACCUUAUGUGUUAUGGUAAAUUGCUGAUUAGAAUCUAGAGGUGUUCUCACCAUGUAUCAAUUGAUAAUAAAUAUGAAAGAAGACUGAAAUAGUUCAACUGCGGUCAAUGAAUUCAGGGGAACUUGAAUUUAUCUUCAAGUAGAUUUAAACACAGAUUCAAGAAAAUCUAUCUUUGAUUAAUUGGUUUCUAUUAUAAUUUAAGAAUGUUGUUGAUUGAUCAAUUGAAUCUUAAUAAUAUUUCUUAUUUGAGCUAAUAAGUUUGCUCUAGACAUAGGUGCAUGCAAACUGGUUUAACAACAGUUUUUGUGUUAUUCGUUCUUUAUGUACUUACGAUAGCUAUUUUUGUUGUUAAUUAUUUUUUCGACAUAGCUAGAAGAUAUUAUUCAUCAUUUCACUUAAUUUUAACACAUUAGAUAUAAUUUAUUAUUUUACAUACAUAUGUGGAUGGAGAUGGAGUUUUUUUUCUUUUUAAAUGUUAUUUAUGAUAUGAGGGAGAACCUUGAUCUUGGAGUCCUCAACCCAAAUUAGGGUGGAAAUGGUUCAAUUCGAUAACCAAACCGAACUUAAUUGAAAAGUUUAAAAUUUCUAUAUAGGAAACAUAACCAAACUGUAUUUAUGCAGUUUGCUUCAGUUUCAAAUUUGAUUUUAGUAUUCUUAAAAAAAAUAAUUCAAUUUGGUUCGAUUUUGUUAUAAUCUAAAAAAAAAUCAAUUUGGUUCGAUUUUGUUAUAAUCUAAAUCAGAAACGAUUCAGUUUUACUCAAAUUUUUAAAUAUAUAAAUAUAAAAAUAGAUGUAUAUAAUAGUUAAAAUAUCUGUCUCGUUUAUAGAGAUUAAAAUGAUUAGUGUAUCAAAUCUCAUAUUCAUAAUUGAAUUCCUAACCUUCAUCGAGUUCUUAAGGAAAAAAAAAAAAUAUUUUGAAGAAUUUAUAAUUGAUAUUUGAUUUUUUUAAAAAAAUAGUAGAUGUUACAAAAUAUUUAUAACUUAUAGCAAAUUCUAUCAAUGAUAGUCAUUAAUAUACUACAGCGAUAUAAGACUCUAUCAGUGAUAAAAUUCAAAAUUUUUGCUGUAGCUUGUAAAUAUUUUAAUUUAUUUUACUAUUUUAAAAAUUUCUCUUGAAAAAUUUACAAAUAUAGCAAAAUUUGUCAAAUUUUAUCAUUGAAAGAAGUCUAUCAUUGAUAGAUCAUGUUGCAAAUAUUAGUCUAUUACUAAUAGAUCAUACAAGCCUGUAAACAAUACAAGUCUAUCAGCAAUAUUUGUAAUUUUUUUGAAAAAAUGUUGAUACAUCUUUAAUUAUUAUUUAUAAACUAUAAUUUUCUUUUUAAAAAUCUCCAUAAUAAUUUAUACAAUUUCGUAAGUUAAAAUUUUAUUAUGUUUCUUUUUCUAUAAACAAAUUUUAACAAAUUUUAUAGUUAAUAAUAAUUUUGAGUUUAUCUUUUUCCCAAAUGUAUGUGUGAAUAAAUAAAGUUAAAUAUAACAGUUGACAACUAUUUAGACCUCAAAAUAACGUAGAGAGCUAAACUAAUUCGUCUUCCUUAACGCGGAAGACGAAUUAUUAUUUUAUAGUCAAACUGUAAAUACCCAAUGAAAGAAUUUCAAGAAAAAUUUCAUGUUCUUCCUUUGAUUCUGCGAUUGGGGAAAUUGGAAAAACUUUGAAGUUUACAUUUUUAGAUUUCUAGGUCACGAGUUGUUGAAGAAUCACAUAAGAGGAAGCUUGUGAGUUGAGCUUUCCGUUUAUUUAUUUUGGUCAAACUUUUUUCUUUCCUACUGAACCCAUGGCUGAUUGUUAAAUUUCGUUGUUCAAGUUUCCAGAAUUUAUAAAGGUAUGCAUUUUUUAUCUAUUCAUUAUUUUAAUCUGGACAUUGAUUUAAUACAAUGUUGGAUGCUUUUAAGUCAUUUGAAUUUCAAAUUCAACCUCACUGAUUUUGGUUUAGAGUUUAAAUGGAAGUAAUGUUAUUGGUUUUGAUGAAGGGUUUAUUAUUGAAUUUGUUUGUAUUAUCUAUUGGUUAUUUCAUUUUGUUAUUGUUCUGUUUGAGUGCUGUACUACUAGAAUAUGAAUGGACAAUCUUCAAUGAAGUAUUUGGGGAUUAUAAUGUGUAAUUUGUAGAAGAUUUGAAUGAACUAUCUUGAAUGAACGGUUUAGUUAAGUUACCAGCCUUCUAAUUGUCUGUAUUGACAGAGGAUUUCAGUUCCUUGAUUGUUUAUUUUAAUGUCCUACCAGGUGUCUAAUCUAUUCAACCGGGCCAAUCGAUAGAAGUUUUAUAAUUAGCCACAGACUUUACUUACUCCUUCUAGUUUGCCAUACGAUCUUAAAAUGGUGCCUCUUUCUGAUCUUUUCCCAUCCUUUGAUCACUGUGCUCGUCUCUUUUCAAAAUGCAUUCAACACAAACAUUUAAGGGUUGGCAUGUCCUUGCAUUCCCACCUUAUCAAAACUGCACUUUCAUUUGACCUCUUCCUUGCAAAUCGUCUUAUUGACAUGUAUUCCAAAUGUAAUUCUAUGGAAAAUGCACAGAAGGCAUUUGAUGAUUUGCCCAUUAGAAAUAUUCAUUCGUGGAAUACCAUUCUUGCGUCCUACUCUCGUGCUGGAUUUUUUAGUCAAGCUCGUAAAGUCUUUGAUGAAAUGCCUCAUCCAAAUAUUGUUAGCUACAAUACCUUGAUUUCUAGCUUUACUCACCAUGGGCUGUAUGUAGAAUCAAUGAAUAUCUUUCGACAAAUGCAACAAGAUUUCGAUCUUUUAGCCUUGGACGAGAUUACUCUUGUGAGUAUAGCAGGUACUUGUGCCUGUUUGGGUGCUUUGGAGUUCUUGCGUCAGGUUCAUGGAGCAGCUAUUGUCAUUGGAUUAGAGUUUAAUAUGAUUGUUUGUAAUGCUAUAGUUGAUGCUUAUGGUAAAUGUGGCGAUCCAGAUGCGUCAUAUUCUAUUUUCAGUAGAAUGAAGGAGAGAGAUGUUGUUACCUGGACCUCCAUGGUUGUAGCUUAUAAUCAGACAUCCAGGUUAGAUGAUGCUUUUCGAGUUUUCAGUUGUAUGCCAGUAAAAAAUGUUCAUACUUGGACUGCAUUGAUUAAUGCUUUAGUGAAGAACAAGUAUAGCAAUGAGGCCCUGGAUUUGUUUCAACAAAUGCUGGAGGAAAAAACUUCUCCAAAUGCUUUCACAUUUGUAGGCGUUUUAAGUGCCUGUGCUGAUCUUGCUUUGAUAGCAAAAGGCAAAGAGAUUCAUGGACUCAUAAUCAGAAGGAGCAGUGAACUUAAUUUUCCAAACGUAUAUGUAUGUAAUGCUUUAAUUGAUCUGUACAGCAAGAGUGGUGACGUGAAAUCAGCUAGGAUGUUGUUUAACUUGAUUCUUGAAAAGGAUGUAGUAUCGUGGAAUUCAUUAAUAACUGGGUUUGCACAAAACGGGCUUGGAAGGGAAGCACUUCUUGCCUUCCGAAAGAUGACAGAAGUAGGGAUAAGGCCUAAUAAAGUGACGUUUUUGCUGUGCUGUCUGCCUGUUCCCAUACUGGUUUGUCAUCUGAAGGAUUAUGUAUUCUGGAGUUAAUGGAGAAGUUUUAUGAUAUUGAGCCUAGUUUAGAACAUUAUGCAGUCAUGAUCGAUAUGUUUGGAAGAGAAAACAGACUUGCUGAAGCAUUGGAUUUAAUAUCCAGAGCACCCAAUGGAUCAAAACACGUUGGGAUAUGGGGUGCAGUUCUGGGGGCUUGUCGUAUACAUGAAAAUUUAGACCUGGCUAUAAGAGCUGCAGAAACUUUGUUUGAGAUGGAGCCAGAUAAUGCUGGAAGAUAUGUAAUGUUAUCUAAUGUAUUUGCUGCAGCAAGUCGAUGGAUGGAUGCCCAUAAUGUGAGAAAACUUAUGGAGGAAAGAGGUUUCAAGAAGGAAGUAGCAUAUAGCUGCAUAGAAAUAAGAAAUAUAAGGCAUAAGUUUGUGGCAAGAGAUAAUUCCCAUAGUCAGAUGGGUGAGAUAUAUGAGUUAAUGUUUAUACUACUAGAGCAUAUGAACAUUAUUGGUUACAUGGCUCUUGAUGAUGGUAUUUACUUUUAUGAUGGAUACAGUACUUGAACUUUGGGCAUGAUCUAUUUGAAUCCCGUGUCUCACCAUUGCAAAUAUAUUGUAAAAGUUAGCAAUUUCAUUGAAUGAAUUUGAGAAUAUGAAGCGGAACGAUUAAGCUACAAGGCUGAGAAGGACGGAUUGCUAUCAAGUAGGAGAUCUUGAUUUUAUUUUAUUUAUUUGUUUUAGUAUUAUUAUUGUUUUUGUUUGUGGUAAUAUACAUCUAGUUUUAGUCGGUAAUGCAUGAGAAUAUUUAUCAUUCAACAUUUCAGUGGCUAAAUGAAUCAAUUAUAGGUCAUCAUCAUCGUGCUUGUAGUAUUUUAUUUUCUUUCCCCACCAUAUUUGUGUGAUACCAUUACAAAUAAUCCUAGAAAAAAUUGUGAAAAUUUGAACUUGUACAGGGCUGGACACGACUGGGCACACCAAGGUUAAGAAAAAAAUAGAUUUUCUUAAUUCUUAUAGACUGAAUUUUUGUAAAUUGAUCAAUCUUAAAGUAUGAGGACGCUAUCUUCUUUCUUUAGUCAUAGCCAACUAAUUCCAUUUAUAUCUUGUAAGAUUUGAAAUGUCGUCAAUUGGCUAAGCUCUUUAUCUUUUUGGUGAAGUACUGUAACAAAAACUUACACGUUUUAUUGAUAAAGAAGUAUAAUAUCGAUAUCAAUAUAUAGACAUAUGUUUUAUCAUAAAAAAAGUGCACGCAUCCUACUUUUUUAGAAAUUGACCUGUCAUCAUGUUUGUUUUGUGUUGCUUUGGUGUUUUCAUUUUUUUUUAAUUUUCUUUAUGUAUUGGUGACUCUGAUUCUUACAUCCUAUUAUAUUAUCCAAUAGGAAGAUUGUCUUUGAUUAAGAGAUAUCUUUCAUGGAAUGUGGCUCACUAGUGAUUUUCGUCUUGCUGCUUUUCUUUCUGUCUUCAUGACUUUGAUCGUUUCUUCCUUUUCUGUAACUUGCUAGGAAGACUGCUGUACUGGAGGUAAAAGAGCUGAUGAAGUUCUGUUCUUAAUUUAGACGGAAAAGUUUGUAGGUGUGAGGGCUCUAAGAGUUAGUUUGCAGAGAUGAAAUUCAGAAAUAAUUUCCCUGUAAGAGGGCAUCAUCUUUUCUUGGUCGUAGUUGCUCUCACAUUCACUGUCUUGGUGUUGUGGGCUUGGGAGAAUCCUUUCCUUACCGCUUCUCAGUCAGUUCAAGCAUGGUAUAGAAAUUCUUAUGCAGGUAUGCUUGUCAAUGCUUGUUUAUAACUCUAGAACUGGUCUACUAUUAAAUUAGACUAGUUUUUGGUAUUCUUCGUUGUUCUCUUCUUGUUGGAACUAUUAGAUUUUUGAGUUCAGUAGUACAUUUCUUUUUUAUGACAAAGACAAUCUGAUUGGAGAAAAGUGAAGUUUGGGAGGUUAAAGGAAGUAAGCUAAAUAUGGCCUUUAUACACAGUUUUUGGUUUCUCCUUUAAAAUUUUGAAAUUUGCUCUCAAAGGUAUUGACUUUUUAGUCAAGUUACUAUUUUCAAUAACGUGGUUGUAGUUGAGUAGAGAAACUAUGACGUAACAUUGACAACCUUAUAUUCUAUGAAUGGAAAAUAUUUGAAUGUUAAGUUUUUAUCUCAUUUCAUCCAAAUUAGAAAAUCCCGUUGGCCUUACCUAAAUAGAAGCUUACUUGAUGGACAACUUCAGUGUACAUGCUCCUUCAGUUUCAUGCAACUCUCCCCAUUCACUGUUGGUGCAGCCUUUUCUCUUGACUCAUGCUACCAAUCCCCUUUCUCGCAAACCUAUAUUAUUCAGCCUUAAUGCUCUUAGAAACCUACCCCAUGAGCAUACGGUUCUCCUUUCAUUUCUUUUAGUAAUUGGGUCCGUGGGUUUUCUUCUCCAAAAUAGUUGGUUGGACUUUUUUUUGGAUGUCAUAGUUGGUUGGGUUUUUAAUAUAAGAGAGUUGGUAAAUUUUUAAUAUAAAAAACUGCCAAUAUUUUUACAAUGCUGCAUCACUGUUGCUAUAUCAAUUUCAACCACAUUUAUUGAAUACGGAUGUUUUUGAAAAAUUUGGAACUUUGAGGACAAAAUUGAAACUGUCAAAUUGGCAAAAGAAGAAAUGGUUCAUAAAUGUAAUGAAUUUAGUUAAAUGCUGAAACAUAUUCAAAUGCAAAUUUAAUGUAUUUUGCCUUCUCUUGGUAUAUUUGUACCUCGCUGAUGGUUUUUAUUUGCUUAGGGUUCGUCGUAGGUUCAACAAAAAGUUCUGUAUUACCUAACACAGUAAGGGAGAACGUUGAAAAAACAUAUUCAAAUUCAAGUAUAAAGAAGAGAUAAUACAAGAUGAUGCAAAUUCAGAAAUUACACCCACAGAUUCUGCAUUCCAAAUAGUUCUUGAGAGGAGCAAGAGUAAUCAGAAUAGUAAGUACUGAGCCUAAACUAGUGGUGCUGUUUUCUAAUCACUAGUUUGCAUGUUAUUUUCUCUUUCAGAAUUGUUCCCUACGGUUGGGUAACCGUUAGGAGUUUCAUGGUGGCGUAAUCCUUGCUUGUGAUUGAAGCUUAUUUCUUAUUGAUUUUUGUUCAUGUCUCAAAAGAGAAGUUUUACGAUUUCUCUCAUUGUAGAAGGGAAAAUUCUAAAUCAGCUAUUUAACUCUUCGUUUUAUUGGCACAUGAUUUGUUUGUUAGUUAACUAACGGUCUAAGUAGUUUUUGGAACUAUUUUAGAAACCUUUAUCAAACCUCAAGGACUAAAAUGUUCAUUUUGAAACUUCAUGGACCAAAGAGACAUCCACUUUAAAUCUCAAAGACCAAAAGUGUAUUUUGCCAUUUUAUUUUAUUUUUAGAUUUCAUAGUUGGUUGGAUUUUUUAUAUAAGAGGGUUUGGUAAUUAUUUAAUAUAAAAAAAUGUCAAUUCAAAGAAAAACAUCACCAUUGAAAUAUCAAUUUUCAACCACAUUUAUUGAAUAUGGAUGUUCUUGAAAAUUUUGACACUUUGAGGACAAAAUUAAAACUGUUAAAAUCAGCAAUAUAAAAGAUGGUUCAUAAAUGUAAUGAAUUUAGAAAAAUGCUGAAACAUAAAUGCAAAUUUAGUGUAUUUUGCCUGUUUUUGCUAUUUGUGUACCUUGCUGAUGUUCUUUAUUUGUUUGGGGUUCAUGGUAGGUUCCACAAACAGUUCUGUAUUGCCUAACACAAUAAAGGAGAAUUCUGGAAAAACAUAUUCAAAUUCAAGUACAAAGGAAAAGACAGUAAAAGAUGAUGCAAACUCAGAAGUUAAACUUACAGAUUCUGCAUCUACAAUAAUUUUUAACAGGAGCAAGAGUAAUCAGAAUAGUAAGUACUCAGGCCAAAAUCGUGGUGCUGUUUUCUAAUUACAUACUUAGCAUAUUUAUUUUCUCUUCGCAAAAUUGUUCCCUUCAAUUAUGAAACCGUUGGGAGUUUCAUGGGGGCGUGAUCCCUGCUUACUGUUUAUGAUUGGAGCUUCUUUCUUAUUGACUUUUAUUGAUGUCCCAAAAGAGAAAUUAUUUUACAAUCUCAUUGUAGAAGGGAGAAUUCUAAAAUGAAGGAUACCUAGAGAUGUUUUGAAUAUUUUGAUAUCUUGAAACUCAUGAUAAUUCAAAAUGUGCUUUAUCAGUCGUUUACUUUGUUCGAUGCUAUGUUCUUGAUUAAAGAUCUAGUCGUGGUAAAAAAAUUUGACCGGUAUCCUUUUCCUAGUGUUGUUACUCUUUACAUCAGAGCCCUCUUAUAGCAAUAAAGAGAAAGGAAACCAUAUGGAUUGUUGUUGGUGAAAUUUUCAAUUAUUUAGACCAUAUGGAUUAUGGCUUUAUAGAACAAAUUUUCCUCAUCUAAGGUCUAUGUUUUCCUCACGAAACAAAGCUUCGAUUGUUAAAUAUUGAAUUAUAUUGAUAUCAGGCAUUUAUCAUGAAGGCCAUGACAUGCAUAUUAAUCCAAUAUUUAAUUUUAUCUAUGAAAUUAGCUUAUUCAGUGCACAUUAAAUCGGUUUGUUUGUUAUAUUGACUGAUUUAACUUUUCAGCCUGUAGCUAUGGAAAUGGAGGAUGGGUCCUUGACAAUAGUCGACCGCUAUACUCUGGCUUUGGAUGUAAGAGAUGGUUAUCAGCAAUGUGGUCAUGUAGACUGACCCAACGGACAGAUUUUUCCUAUGAAAAAUAUCGUUGGGUUCCCAAAGAUUGUGAAUUGCCAGCAUUUGAGCGGUCUGCAUUCCUGAAAAGGUAAUGACUUCCUUCUAUAUUUUUGCAUAUAGGUUUAGCAAGUCUGAUAAUAUAAAACUGUCUUGUUUUAUUUAGUGUAUUGGUUUUAAAAUUUUCAACCAAACAAUUUCCACCAUACGAUGAAUUCUGAAAGUAUAGGUAUCUAUCUUAUGGUCCUCAACUCUCUGCCAAGUGAACUAUUUAAUGGAUUGUGAUUUACUAAGGUUACUUUCUGCUAUUCUCGACACUCUCUGAAUGAUCUGAAUUUGUUCCAUUCAGAAUGCAGGACAAAACCAUCGCAUUCAUUGGGGAUUCAUUAGGAAGGCAGCAAUUUCAGUUUUGAUGUGUAUGGUCACUGGUGGGGAAGAAAGGCCUGAGGUUCAAGAUGUAGGAAAGGAAUAUGGUCUUGUCAAAGCCAAGGGUGCAAUUCGUCCUGAUGGCUGGGCAUAUCGUUUCUCAAAUACCAAUACUACCAUUUUAUACUAUUGGUCAUCUAGCCUCAGCGAUUUAUUGCCUUUGAACACAUCAGACCCAGCCACCGAUGUAGCAAUGCAUCUUGACCGUCCGCCAGCAUUUCUGAGAAAAUUCCUUCAUCUAUUUGAUGUGUUGGUUCUCAAUACAGGACAUCAUUGGAACAGGGGAAAAAUGAGACAAAAUAGAUGGGUAAUGUACACUGAUGGAGUUCGUAGUGAACUCGGGAACUUAAAAGAAAUAGGCAUAGCUAAAAAUUUUACGGUGCACAGUAUCGUGAAAUGGCUCAAUUCACAACUCCCUUCCCAUCCUCGACUCAAGGUUUUUUUCAGGACCUUAUCACCUCGGCAUUUCCGCAAUGGGGAAUGGAAUUCUGGAGGUAGCUGUGACAACACAAGACCAUUAUCUGGAGGAAGCAAAGUAGAGCAGAAUGGAUCAAGUGAUACAGUUGUUGAGAAUGCUGUAAGAGGUACACAAGUAAAGAUAUUGGAUAUAACUGCUCUUUCAUAUCUAAGAGACGAAGCUCACAAAUCCAAUUACAGUAUCAAAGGAACAUCGAGCGGUAGCGAUUGCUUGCAUUGGUGUCUCCCUGGUAUCCCGGAUACGUGGAACGAGAUUCUUAUUGCACAAAUAUAGAUUCUUUUGUCUUGAAGAUUUUAGAUUUUCUCUCUUGUGUAAUCCUGGAAGACUCAUCUUUCUAAUUUUUGCUGCCUAGAGCUGUACUAAUUGGUUCAGGGGAAGAUGAUCACUGAUGAGAUGGCGUUGGUUGCUACUGAAUUAAAUUAUAUGGUGGGUAUUGCCUACGUGUCAUUUUUCAUUUAAAAAGAGUCAAUUUAUACUUGUAAACUGUAUAAAUUACAUGUAUCAAUUUAAACUAUAAUAAGUAUAUUUCAUUUAACAAACUGGUGGAUCAGCAAAAUGGAUGAUUAGAAUUAAUGCAUUGACAUUUUUUAUAAUUGUACUUUUAUCUAAAGGUUCAAACUGAUUCGAAAAUACAGGCGAGUAAGGGUUUCAAAUGCUUUUUGAUAUGAGACGAGGGUGUAAAGAAAACAUAUUGACUUUUGACUUUAUAGAAUGAUGCUUGAUAAUGUUCAUGUUUCUGUUCUUCUUCAUUUAUCGAGAAAGCAUGCUUGUUUGAUCCUAAUCAUUCCCACCCAUUUGUUUACGAGGCCAUUAGGUAUCAAAUCCUCACAAUCAUUUUUCAAAGUUAUACUAUACAAGAGUUACAGAUUUAUCAACAAAUGAGCUCCUUGUAAGGCCUAUAUAAUUCACAACUACCAAGAAAUCACGGGUAGUACUGCCAUCCUUAAGUAAUAGUUCCUGCUGUUUGGUCGCGAUCAUCUACUGCGAAUUGUGCAAUUUCCUUUACGUAUGGGGCAGACGAACCAUAAUCACCCAGAGGAGUACGCAUAUAUCUAUGUAUCUUUCUAAAUUAUUACUUAAUAAAAGGGUAUACUUUAAUUUGUGUCCAUCUUUCCCAUCAAAAUGUUGUUUCAAAUUUAUAGAACUCUGCUCUCCAAUUUAUUCUAUUCCUUUAGCGAUUACAUUCAACUUAACGAAUAGUAAUCGCUAUUGUUAGGAAUCUAAUUCGUGUAUUCCCUUUUUAUUUAAGAUUAUGGUAAGUUGGAAUCUUAACUCAUUAAUAUCACAUGAUUCACAAUAUUUUAAUUAGGAGUUUUUUUUUCAAAAAUAGAAUAAAACACGACAAUAUUUAUACAACGUGAAAUAACAAAAAUACUUUCAUAAUUAAUCGGUCACACACCAUUUUGUGCCCGUCUAAACGAUCUUGUACCCUUAUACAUAGUCUAAACGAUAAUAUAGUACCAACUCUAAACAAUUUUUACCCAGCCUAAAUGAUCUUGUAAUAAAACUAAAGGAUCUGUUGGUGAUAGUGAUCUAUUUCUGUCUAUUUGAGAUAAACAACUGAUUGUUUACAUGUUAGUACACGAUCGUUUAGAUCCUGUACCAAUAUCGUUUAGAUCUUGGACCAAGAAGAAAAAAGAAGAUAAGAGAGGAAGAAAGAAGAAAUUUUGAAAGAGAAAAUGAAGAAAUAGAAAUAUGAAUAAGGAAAAGUAAUAACAUGAAGAAGAGAAAAAUAAACGUAAAAAAAAAGAACUGAAAAAUUGUCCCGCAAUAAUCAAAAUUCAAUAAAGACAAAUAUGAAAUUUAUAAAAGGGUAAUUGGAUUCAUAGUCUUUUUUUUUUUAAAUUGUUAUACAAAUAGUAAAUAUUUGAUUUAGCACUUUUGUUAUAUUUAUUAAAUUUACAUUUUAAUUAUCUCUAAUUCACUAAAUGUUAUCCUUUUUCUUUCUCGAUUGAAUGUAUCAAAUAAGAUUUAAGGAAAAUUAUUUUUAAAUUUUUUAAAAAUAAAUGUAACAAAAUAUAUCAUAAUGCAUUGACGUUUUUUAUAAACGUGAUUUUAUCUAAAAGUUCAAACGGUUUGGUGUUUGAUAAUGUUCAUGUUUCUAUUCUUCUUCGUUUGUUGAGAAAGCAUGCUUGUUUGAUCAUAAUCCAUUCUCAUUUGUUUCCAAGGCCAUUAGGUAUCAAAUCCUUCCAAUCAAUUUUCAAAUUUAUACUACACGUCAGUUACAGAUUUAUCAAUAAAUUAAUUAAUUUUUCAAAUAUAUUAGCAUAUUAAUGUAGUGAAAUGGAGGAAACUCCCCUGAGUCACGUCCUUCAUCAAGGAGUAAAUGAAAGUUCUUUAAAUAUCAUACUAAAGAAGCUUGAACUUCGAAAGUCAUAAUCUCAACACUCUAACCGAUGUCAGAUAAAAGGAAUAGCAACAAAUCACAUCAUUGAGAUAGAACUCAAUUACAUGCUUUUUGGUUUUGUGAAUGAUUGACUAUUACCGGGAUAAGUUGUUCGUCACUAUCUAUCUUCUUGCACAACAACGUCUUUCCCUCCAUCUUACAGAAUCAUUUGCAUACAAAAUAAUGUCCAUAUACGUGAGUAAAAAUCCCAACGACAAAUCUUCACUAAAAAAAAUCUUUUUGAAAAGGGAGCCAAAUAAGAUCUUUGUCAAAAUAGAAUAUUCUUCGUAAUUUUUCUUGACCGAACUCUUUUAGCCACGUCACCAAACGAAAUGAAAAGCUGAACAAAGCAACAAUCACGAGCCCACACAACAUCUAACAAAAGUUGGUUGAGCUCACAUAAAUUAGGGCUAAAGUGAGAAAUUAAAGUAUAUCCCUUUGUGCUGAACUAGGCUCUAUUAAACAACACAACAAGAAGAACAUUAAAUUCAACUCCAUACCUUCAGUGAUGUGGUCUAUUUGGCUUGAGAGAAACAGUAGUUGAAUCUUCAAAGACAAAUACAAAUCGACCAUUAAUAUUUGGAAAGACAUAUGUACGCUUUCGGUUCUAUAGACUAGCAAUUCUCCACUUUUUACAAAAUACAGUGCUUCAACAAUUGCCAUUAAUCUUUCGGCUUUUUAGUCAUCUUUUGUAUGGGGGCUUAUCUCUAGUUCCUUCUUUCCACAGGUGUUAUUCCUUACUUCUCUUGUAUCUACUGUUAUAUUAUGAAUGAAAGCAAGAUAAUGAUGAGGGUGCUAAAGGCUAGUGGAGAUGGAGAUGGAGAUGCGCACAUGCGCGGAUGCACUUGCUGAUCUAUUGUAUCCCUUGAAAAAAAUAGUAUCAAUGUACGCGUAAUUGAGAAAUAUACAUGCAAUUGACUUUAAAAUCAAGAUAGAAUUAAGCACGCCAUUAUGUUAUAUAUUAUUGCAAUAUAUGUUUAUUAAUUACUUAAUUAUUACAAGUGAAAACAAGUUCAAAUGAAUGUAAAUUCUUUCUAUCUACACAUAUUCUAAUUUGAUUUCUUGUAGAUGGUUUUGCUCUCAAUACAUACUUAAAAAGUAUAUGAUUUUAUUUCAUUUUUUCCCUUUAGAUACAUAUUUGUAUCCUUAACCCUUAAUUUUCAUAUGAUUAUGUUAUUGAUCAAUUGAUACAUUCAACCUGCAGCCACAAGUACAGUGAGAUUUACAUAUUUCAUUUCUCAUAUAAAAAGACCAAACUAUAUAUUUUGUGGCACGAUUAUACCUGCACUAAUUCACACUAAAUUCCAUCAAAACUCGCAUAGUCUAAGCUUCCUUAGAUGAGAAAUUCUCCUGUUUGCACCCCUUUGAAAGAAAAAAAAGAACUUCUAAACAUGCGCCCCACAACAGUGAGAUGAAAAGAUACAAAAACACACACAUAAUAGCUUUAUUUAAAAUGUAUGUUCCAUUACUUAUAUAGAUAGCUCAUACAUACGUAUAUAUAUAAGCAGUAGUAGAUGGGAUGUUGCAAUUUAUUUCGUGACAGGUUCAAACUGAGUGACCUCCAGGUAAUUAUCCCAUGGCCUAUAAUACACAACUACCAAGAAAUCACUGGUAGUACUGUCAUCCUUAAGCGACAGCACAAGGCGGUAGUUGGUUCCGGAUACAACCACGGACUCACAGUUGACGAUGGAAACGAGUGUGUAAUUUGUUCCUGCUGAUUUGUUGUGAUCAGCCACUGCCCGUUCUGCAAUUUCUUUUACGUAUGGGGCAUCCGAAUCGUCACAUGGACCAUAAGGACCCAGAGGAGUACACAUAUCUAUGUAUCUUUCUAAAUUACCCUUUCAAAAUUAUUACUACUUAAUAAGGGAAUGCUUUAAUUUGUGUGCUUCUUUCCAAUAAAAAAAAUUGUUUCAAAUUUAUAGUAAUAUGCUCUCCAAUUUAUUCUUCUAUUCCUUUAGCAAUUAAAUUCAACUCAGUCAAUAGUAAUCACUAUUGUUAGGAAUCUAAUUCUGUUUACUUCCUUUUUUAUUUAUUUAUUAAGAUUAUGAUAAGUUAGAAUAUCUUAACUAGAUAUUAUAAUUAUCUCUAAUUCACUAAUGUUAUCCAUUUAUCACUCUUUUGAUUUAUUGUUUGAAACAAGAUCUAAGAAAAAUUAUAUAAUAUAAUGAUACAAAAAAGACAACGGUAGUAGUAUGUUGUGUUAUAAUUUGAAAUUUUUUUAGUUCAUUUUUAUUAAAUUUAAAAAUAUACUUAAAAUCAACCUUAUCAACAAAUUAAGAUUUGUUUCUUUUAUAAAGGGGACAUGCAAGUACUUUUCAUUCACUUUGCAAACAAAUAUAUAUUUAUUUUUGAGGUCCAAGAUAGAUCUCUUAAGUUCUAUUAGCUCAAUUUAAUUUUGAGUAUUUGUUAGAAACAACCUAAUUUCUUUUUUCACAGUAUUUGAAAAUACAACCAUUUUCUAUCAAUGGAUUAAUUUUAUGAAUACUAUUUGUGAAUGGUACACUUUUUUAGUAUCAUUUGUGAAAAUUAGUUACCAAUGUAUUUCUAUAAAUUCGUACUUAAUAGAAAAUUAAGAAAGAAGUUAUGAAAUAGAAUAUUGAAAAAUAUGGUUGAAUUAGAAUAACACUGAAGUCAACGUACCAUUUUUAUUGUUGGUUCUUAAUAUACUUUGAAGUUUGUUCAAUGUAAUUCGUCACCUUUUGUAAAUUGUCUCUAUUCUUGAUAAAUCCUAAAUUUAGUAUUAACUUUAAGAAAAUAAUUUUGAAAGACUAAAGGUAAAACUUAUUGAAAAUACAUAGAAUAAAUUGAAAUUAAAUCUAUUCAAUUACAUGUCAUAUGGACUAAAUUAAAAAUAAUGGUCAAAGUCAAAAUUAAAAACUCAAAAUAGUAACUAACUAUCGAUGUCAAAAUUCUUUUGUGAUAAUGAAGCACAAAAAGUAGUUUUUCACUUUUUCCAAUCACAUUAUAAUGACGUAAUAAAGAGUAAUUAUAAUUGAUGACAAUUUUAAAAAUAAUAAUUAAAUAUAUAGUAAUAGUUUAAAAAAAUUUAUAAAUACAAUAAAAUUUAUUUUUAGAUUAUUACGGUUAAACUCUAAUAGACUAACAAUUGAUGGAUUUUAACCGAUUUUGUUAUAUUUGUAAUUUUUUAAAAUAUUGCUAUACUCUUAAUUAUUUUAAAUCUAAUUACAGGAGACAAAAUAAUUGGUAGCACUAUUGAAAACCGAUAAUGGGAAGCCUAUAGGAUUGUAAAACAUCAAAUUUUAUUAAUGAUAAGGAAUAGAUAUAUGAAGGGUUGAAGAUGAGCCCAAAGAGACUUUUAGUCAAGCAAAGAAUUGGAAUUUAAAGCUAUAGACAAAUAUGAAAUUAGUUUUAGUUUUAUUUAAAGAAAAAAGAAUAACUUCCGUAUCUUUAGGAUCAUUUAUAAAUAAGAAGUUAAAAGAUAUUCCUCAUAUUUAGGAAUAUUCUAUGGUAAAGAAGUUCUUUCUUGGCUAUUUAAAAAGGAGAAGUUCUUAAUGUAAAUUCAUUCUUCAUGUUCUUACAUUUAUAUGUUCUUAUGUUUAUAUAUUUUUGGUAAAGAAGUAAAUCGGUUACCUUCUACAUUAUGAUAGAUUAUUGAAGACCGUCAAGGAAUUUGACAAAGUAUCAAUUGAUAAGAAAUAUGAAUGAAGACUGAGAUAAUUAUACUGCGAUCAAUGAAUUCAGGGAGCUUGAGUUCGUCUUUGAGAAGAUUCAAGUUUAUCGUCAAGAGAGCCUGAGUUUAUACGGUUAAGUUAUGGUGAUAACUUAUUAAUGUAACUUUAGGGUUAAGUUACAAAUUUUUGAAUUUCAAUAAUAUUUCUUAUCUAAGUAAAGAACCUCCACAGAUGUAAGCCAUAUUUGCCAAACUGAGUUACCAAAAUGUUAUUUGUCUUAUGAGUACUCUAGUUAUUAAAUACUUGUGAUAUAGCUAAAGGGCAUUUAACCUUCUCACUUUUCACUAGGCUUGUAGUCUUUGAAGAUUCUAUUAUUUCUCUUCAGCCAAAUAACAUUCACUGUAUUUCUAGCAAUAAAGAAAUGCUGACAAUUUCCAUAUGAUUUUUUGUAAUGAUAAUAUGUGAAUUUAAAAUUUGCAUUAAUAAAAGAAAAAGAAAAAGAUAAAAGAAAGAAUAAUAUUUUUUUCAUGAAACAUUGUUGAGAGAGUAGAAGUUUGGAUCACCGACUUUGUUGCAUUUUUUUUAAAAAUUUUUGUUAGAUAACAAAUGAGAGUUUUAUCUUAUAUGAGUUUUUUUUUAUAAUUAUCUUCAUUUUAGGAAAUUAAAUUAUCUUCCUUUAAGAAAAUUAUUGAAAUUUAGAAAGAAAUUUGAUAUUUGAAAAAAAAAGUAUUGAUAUUUGAGAAAAUAAAAAGUGAUGUUUUGAAUAAAAUCUACUUUGUAAAAGUAAUUGUAGCAUAGAAGAUUUGAACUAUAGAGGCACAACACUAAAAAUAGAGUUUAGACAAAAUGAAGCUAAAUUUAUUAUAUAUUGUAAUCUAACACUUCAAAAUUAAUAUUAAAACAUAAAAAUCGAUAAUGUGAAAGGAAACACGUACUUUUGACUCUUAAUAAAUCUGCCCCAACUUGAAAGAUGGUUGUAUCGGAAAUAAAAUAAACAUUAAUCCUAAAUCGAUAAUGUGAAAGGAAACACGUACUUUUGUUUACUUUUUUACACAUUCAUCUCACAUAGAUAUUAAAAGAAUCAAUUUACUAAUGUAACAACUCCACCACGAACAAAUGUAUCCUAUUUUAAAGAGUCGCGUUCUGUAAUCUAAGGUUUUAUUUGAAAAGUCACGAACACUCAACAAAGAGUAAAUAUAUGAAAAUUUAUAAAAAAUGUAGAAAUGAAAAAGAUGGGUAAAGGUUCUUCAUACAUGUAAAGCAUCAUAGUAUUUAUUAAAUUAGGAAAUAUAAAAAUGGAGGUGAAAUUUGUUGAGUAGUUUAAUUAAAAGUUGGUUGACAAAUUCUAAAAUUAGGUAAAGAAGGCCUACUCUUACGAGUUAAAGAUAAGCAUUUAACUAACAUUUAUCCUCAAAUCACAUCUUCAUCUCUUUUUUUAUAUAUAUAUAGAAGAGAAACUUGACAUUAACGCAGCCAGACUAUUUAAUAAAUUAGCUAGAAAUAUUAUUUUAGACCACAAAACUGUUAAACUAGAUAUAUAGAAAAAAAAUUAAAAUCUAAAAUCUAUUGAUAAAAGUUUAUUAGUAAGUGUUACUGAUGUUUAGAUAUGAAUGAUAAAAUCUCUAUUUUAUUAUUAUUUUAUAAACAUUGAUCAAAAUCAAAAUUCAUUUUUGUUAUAUUUAAAAACAAACUAUUGAAUAAUAUUAUAUAAAUUUGACCCAACAAAAAAGGUUGGGGUGUAAAAGGAGAUUUGAAAGAUAAAUUUGAUUGACCAAACAACUUACUAUCUUUGUGAAGUAAUAAAAAAAAAAUGAAUAUUUUAUGAAAAUAUUGACGACGAAAAGUAAUUAUAAUGGAUGACCAAACAACUUACCAUCUAUCAUUUUCUUAAUUAUUUACCAAAAGGUAAAUUUUAUUUUUUUAAUUACUAUAUAUAUUUUUGAAUAAUUCUUUUAAAAACCUGAUUUGAACUAUUUAAAAAUUAAUAUUAAUAUAUAAAAAAAGCUAAAAGUAAAAAAGAAUAAGGAAAUGGAACCGAAGAUGAGAAAUGACAAAGAAGGAAAAUGAUAGACAAAUAUAUAUGUGUCAUUUAUGUUGUUUACAAAUGAUCAUAUGAUUAUUAUCGAUGAAAUUGAUUAUGACCAACCUCCAUGUGAAAACUUAAAUAGAAUGUAGGAUCUAAUUUGGCAUAAACUUAAAUGCAGAACGAGUGUACGAUGAUACAAAAAUGUUGGCUAACAAUAAAUAUAGAGACUUUAAAACAAAGACGACUAAUGAUGAAUUUGAAGAGAUGAUCGUCGUGAAUAUGAAUUUCUCUCUCAAAUACAUUCAGUGAGUUAGACAUGAAUGAGUAGAUAGCGUCAGGAGCACAAUCCAAUUAUAGUUCCAAUGGUGAUUGAUAACAGAAAGUUGUAUAAGGGAAUGUUUUGUGAAGAUAAAGAAUGCUGCAACAUAUGAUCACUAAAGUGUUUUGCUACUAAAGUCAUGCACCAUAUGAAGUAGUAAAGUCAGCACCGAAAGUGAGUUAUUUGAUGUGAGAAGUCAUUUGAGACAAAGUGGGUUUUUUUCAUUAGAGGGAGGAAAAUAAAUUAAUAUUAAUUAAAAUAUGAGAGAAGAUUAAAUUAAUUAAAAUAAUUUUUAUUUAAAACGAUGACCACACAUUUUUUUAAUUCUUAAUUUAAUAUAUUUUAAAAAAAUUUAAUUCAACACAUUUUAACUAAUUCCUUACCACUUGUUUGUCACAUUUUAUCUAAUUCACAUUUUAAUUAAAUUAAAAAAUUAAACUAUAAAGAUGGAGAUUUUUUUUUAAAAAAAUAGAAUCAAGACUGGACCAAAAUGAAGAAGAAUAAAAACUGCAUUAUUUCACUAAAUAGUUUUGAAAGAACACUAAUUUCAUAAAUAGUUCUUGAAAAAUUAACAUAAACAUAGAUAAGUUUCAAUAACAACCAUAUUGAAUCAAUUUUUUUUUUUUAUAGAAAAUAGGUUUUUCUGUGUUAGAAAGAAAAAUAAAAUAGUAUUAAAUUAGAAACAAGAAUUUAAAAUUACUUAUAAAUAAAAUUUAAAUAGAACAAAUAAAUUAAAAUAUAUAUGAAAAUAAUAAAUAAAAAACAAAUGGGAGAGAGAAUACAAAACAAAUUUGUAUGAAAGAGAAAAAAAGAAGAUUAAUUAAAAACCAACUUUCAUUUUACAAAAACAUUAAACGAGAAAUCAAAACAAGAAAUAAGAAAUGAAAACAUGUUAGACAUUUCAAAAAACAACACACAAAUUUAGGGCCGCCCAAUUGGAAAUUAAAAAAAAAAAACUACAUUACUAUUUAAUAUAUAUUAAAAACUCUACACAUAUUAUUAAAUAACGUUUCAUCUUAUCAAGUUGUUGUACACAUGAAUAAUUUUAUAGGUUGUAAUUUAAAAAAUAUAUAUUUAUCCUAGUGAAAUUUGUGAACAAAUUUAAUUAAAACUUAAUCAAUAGUUUAAUUAAAAGUUAGUUGACAAAUUCUAAAAUCAUCUAAAGAAGCCUCUACAAGUUUAGAUAAGCAUUUAACUAAUCUUUAUCCUCAAUCACAUCUUCAUUUCUUUAUUUAUAUAUAUAUAUAAGAGACAACUUGACACUAAACCAUCAAACUAUUUAUUAAAUUAGGGAUAUCAUUUUAGUUUAGAAAGGGUUAAAUUUCAAAUUUUUAGAAUCUAUAUUUCAAAUAGUUAUCUCUAUUUUAUUAUUAUUUUAAUUAUUUUUCUAUAUUUAAAAGUAUUAUUUUUUAUGGAUUUUAUGAUUUAAAUUUUAUGAAUACAUCAAAUUUCUCCGUUUGAAUUUAGUUAAUAGAUUGUUUUUAAAUAAACAGAUUUCAUAUUUUAAAUGAGACUGACUAAUAUUUUCUACGAAUUUAUUAAUUCUUAGAUACAUGAAAUUUCUAAUUAAACAGCUAUGAUAGAGAUUAAAAUAUCAAAUUUUGGUAUCUUAAUAUUCUUAAGGUGAAUAAAAAUAUUUUAAAACAAAAUAAACUUUUUUUUAAUGGCUCUUAUGCCAUCCAUAAUUAUCAAUUCAUGCUUAGGUUUUAUCUUCUUCGAUAUGAAUUCAUAAACAUGAGACAUUUAAACAAAACCUAAAUAAAAACUUUGUUUUGUGAACCUCUAUAAUUUAAUUUAAAAGAUAAAAUUGGGUAACAUUUUGUGGUGUUGUAGGUGCAUACUUUACCUACACACAACCGACUUCCGAACUUAAAUUUCUCAAUUUAUGGAGACAAUUUAUUUUUCCUUUUUGGGUAACCAAUCACACCCUGAUAUGGUUGGUGGCGACUCUAAAACUAUUUAUUUAUUAAAAUUAAAUAAACGAUGGAGGUCGGUUGCUCCGUGUAGCGAUCACGUCGUGACAAUUUUAAUUAUUUUUCUAUAUUUGAAAAUAAACUAUUAAAUAAUAUUAUAAGUUCAAAAAAAAAAAGAAAAAAGAAAAAGGAAAGGGUUGGGUGUGAAAGCCGACUUAAAAGAUGAAUUAGGUUUUCAUUUCAUUGACCUAACCAACUUAGCAUCUUUGUGAAGUAAUCAAUAAAAAAACACCACAACAAAACGUGGUAACGUUUCCCAAAACCUUUUAAUUAUUAAUUAAUGAUUAACAAAAACCAAAUUUCAUAAUAGAACUAAGUUUGUAUGAUAUGUACUAUAAAUACCAACCUAGUGUGUUAAUCAAAAUUUAGAAUACCACAAACCAUAUUACUAUCUUUCUUCAAGUGGCCGGUUUAUUUUUUUUUUUUAAAGAGAAAUCAAGUCAUGGCUGCCGCUGGAAUUGGAACAAUUCGAUCGUGAUUGGUACUGGAAUGCGAUACCGAAUGAUCCAAAUAGUAAUAGAGAUGGCAGAGUAUGCAGUGAAAGAACAGGGAGAAGAAUUGAUCCUGAACAGUGUACAAGCUGGACAGAUCGUUGAGGUGUUUUUGAGUGGCGACACUUAUUACAACCUUCUCAUCCUUGCUCAUCAUCCUCACACAUUUCAGGGGUUUUAUAGCACCAUUGUGAUGGAAAAUACAUCCAAAAAUGUGAAGCAGGUCGUAUCUUUUGUUCCUCUUCGUUAAUGAUGCAAUGAUGAUGGAUGCAUCAAUGAUCUACAAUCUCAACAAAUUAUCUACUCUCUCUCACUUGUUUAUGUGUAUGCAUGUUAUACAUGCAAUUGGAAUGAAAAGUAGUACAAAUUUAGAUAAAAUAAAAGUAUAAAAAGCAGGUAUGCUUUUGGUGUGUUUUCAUCUAAAUUCUCUCUCGUUUUAAUUUAUCUAGACCCAAAAUUGAGACAGAUUCAAAAUCUAGAAUUACGCCCACAUGAUGACUUCAACAUUUUCUUGCACGAUGAGUCCUUUGUAUCAAUUAGAACAAAUUAUGAUAAUUCUAUUUAUAUAGUUCUUUUCUAGCAUGUAUGUUUAAGAGUGGUUUUGUGAUGGAGACUGAAGUGCUUGUUUUCAAAGACCAAAUAGACAUUAAUCCUAAAUCUCACCGACUAAAAAUAUGUUUUGUCAUUUAAAUAAGUAUUUAAUAAAAAAUCACAUCUCAAACCGAAAUACAACAAUUUUUUUUCUUUGGAAAUAUUUGACAGUGAUUCAAUUGUGACAUUAGAUAUAAUAUGUUUUCCCUCUCGUCCUCUAGCUAUAUUAUUACAAAAUCCACAAAUUUGUUGCGAGAGGAAUAAUUAAUAAUAAUAAAAGAUGAUGCAAAUUAACAAAUGGAAUUAUCAAAAGUUCUAAUUAAUUUAAUCCAAUAUGUUAUAUUACUAUACUUUCAAGCAUGAAUGAUGUAUAUAAUCAUAUAAUCUAUUUUGAUGAGUUUUGAGAUAGUGACAUUGGAGCAAUGGAAGUGAAUGAAAAGACAAAGUAUUUGGAAUCAUAUGUUAAAACGUUAAGUUGAUUGGAGAGCAUGAUGAUAAUUUAUAAAAUAGUAAUUCUAAUUGAUAUUUGACUAAGUAGAUGACAUUUUUAUUUUCAAACAUUAUUAAAAUAAAAUAUGUUGAAGCUAUUCAUAGAUAUGUAAUAUCCACGGUGAAAUUUUUUGAUUUUCAAAUAUAAAUCAAAGAAUAUAUCAAUAUUUCAUCGAAUAUUUGAACUUUGAAUUAUUUGAAUAAAAUGUUUAUUAUUUUAUUUUGAUUUCCCAAAAUUAUAUCCACAAUUUUCUUCAUUACACAUCUUCUUUUCUUCUUUUCCCCCUUUCUUUCCCACAUAUUUUUCUAUUUAUUUAGUUAGUAUGAUCUAACUUUUAAAAUAAAAAAUAUUUACAUAAAAAAUAAAUAAAAACUUCCUAAAACAUUGUUAUUCCCAUUCAAUUUAAUAGUGUCAUUCUUAUAUUAAAUAGUUAUUUUUUUUCAAGAUUUAUCACAUGAUAACAAAUUCAUUUUGAACUAUUAAUUUAUAGAUAAUGUUCUUAUUUAUUCACCAAUUUUCAGUCGUUUUUCUGACCUUUGAAUAGAAAUGUUUUUAAAAUCUUAAUUAAUAUAUCAAUUUAUAACAACUAUCUUAGUCAUUUGUUUUUCCUUUAAUAGAAUAUAACUUUGGACCAAUUCUCUAGCUACCACUCUUUUGUAUUUUUCUUUUUUGAGAUAAUGCAUACUAUACUAUGCAGGUUUAGAAGUUUUGUCACGGAUAUGUCAAUUUAAUUGAAAUAUUUAAAUUCGUAUUUUUUCUCUAUUUUUAAUAUAUUAUUUUUUUAAAAAUAAAAUAAAAUAAAAAUAAUAUGGUCAUACGGCUUGAACCCUAUCAACUUUUAUAAAUACGCAUAAAAGUUGUUUGAGGCAGAAUGUUGAGUUUGACAUAAAUAGUUAAACUUAGUUGAUAAUAAUUGAUUGCGUUUUAAAGUGUAGAAUUGAGUUUAUUUGAUUUAAGAAGUUUUGUAUCCGGGUGCAAAGAGUCGAAUUAUGCUAAGUUAUGAAGAACAUGGACUUUUAUGGGUUUUUUUAAAAAGUUAUUAUUUUUCGUGUUCUAUACCGUUCAACUCCACAUACUUUCCUAAAUUCUUAACACAAAUUUGAGAUGUGAACGAACUCAAUAAAAAAGAAAAUAUUACAAUGCCCUACUUACAACUAUAUCAUUUAUUAUAAAUAAAUUAAAAUUAUAUUAUAAAGGAGAGUUUCACAAAAAAUACUAAAAAAAAUUUAUGAUAAUAAAAUCCAUAUCACUUAUAUUUUCAAAAUUGCAAAAAUUAGCAAAUUUAAAAACAGAUUACCGUUAUAUUUGCCAAAUUUACAAUAUGAAAAAAGAGAUGUUAUGAGACGUUUUUUUCUAAAUCUUUUUAUCCUCGACAAUUUUCCACGAUAACUAUAGAUUCAUGAAGAUGGUGGAGCACAUGAGUUUAACUAUGCACAAAAAAUAAGGAUUGUCAUCAUACCAUUUACAUGUUCACACACAAAGUUUACAUGUUCAUACAUCCACGCUUGCAUGGGUGCAUACACGCAAAUAUUGUUCAUAAAAAAUAUAACAAUAUAAUUAAUGAUCAAAAACCAAAGUUUCAUCAUAGAACUAAGUUGGUAUGAUAUGUACUAUAAAUAUCAAACUAGUCUUAAUCAAAAUUAUAGGACAUACCACAAACCAUUACUAGUUCUUCGAGUGAGUUUAAUUUUUCUUUGAAGAGAAUUUAAAGUCAUGGACACUGCUGGAUUUGGACCUUCAAUCGUGAUUGGUUCCUGUAAUCCGAUAUUGAAAGACGAUCCAAAAGUGAUAGAGAUGGCGGAGUAUGCAGUAAAAGAACAGGGAGAAGAUCAUUUGAUACUGAAUAGUGUAGCAGAUGGACAGAUCGUUACGGUGUUCUUGGGUGGCAACACUUAUUAUAACCUUCUCAUACUUGCUCAUCAUCCUCGCACAUUUCAGGGGUUUUAUAGCGCCAUUGUGUUGGAAAAUACAUCCAAAAAUGUGAAGGAGGUCGUAUCUUUUUUUCGUCUUCCUUGAUGAUGCAAUUAUGAUAAUGGGUGCAUAGAUAAUCUACGAUCUCAACAAACUAUCUACUCUCUCACUUGUUUAUUGUUUAUGUGUAUGGAUGUUUUAUAUGCAAUUGGAAUGAAAACUACUACUAAUUUAUGAUAAAAUAAAAGUAUAAAAAGCAUAUAUGCUUUUGGUGUGUUUUUAUCUAAAUUCUUCCUAGCUUGUUUUAAUUUAUCUAUAGUUAACAGUAUGUUUUUGUAUAUGCUAGUCUGUAUUUGUUUUAUAUUCUAGACCCAAACUUGAGAUCGAUAGAUUCAAAAUCUAGAUUUACGAUCACAUGAUGACUUCAACAUUUUCUUGCAGGGGAUGAGUCUUUGUGUCAACCAAAAAAGAUUUUGGCAAUUCUAUUUAUAUAGUUAUUUUGUAACAUCAUUGAUGAACUUUUAAAAAAUAAUAGAAAGGUAAAAAAAUAUACAUGGAUACAAAAUAGUUCUUUUUUUUUUUCUCUUCCCUUUAUUGUUGGAGUCGACCUUCUCCCUUUUUUUCCAAUCUAGAAAUCAAUCUCCCAUUUAUUUCACUUCCAAACCCACCUUUUAACCACUAAAAAUUAAGGGGUUGGUUGUAAAAAUAGUAAAUUAAUUUAUGAUAAUAGAGAUCAUAUUAAUAAAUUUUCUAAAUUGGAGAAGUAAAAAUUUAAAACUAGUAACCUUAUGAUUACCAUCGGACAGCUCUUCGAUAGUCCUAUAAUUACCGUUUGAUAGCCAUAUGAUAUCAUUAAUGUUAACAUAUUUACAAUAUGAAGAGAAAAAAAAGGUGUUAUGAGCUGUUUUUUCUAAAUGUUUUUGUCAUUUGAUGCAAUUUUUCUAAAAUCAAUUCAAUGAUUAAUUUUACAUUGGUAAACACAUUUUUCGUAUUAUUAAAAUUGUUUUUAAAUUACUAAAAAUAUUCUUUUGAGUGAUUUUGAAAGAAAAAAUUAUUUUAAAUAACAAACGUUUUGAAAACAUUUACAAAUAUAACAAAUAUCAUAACUUAUCAUAAAAUCUAUGUUGCCCUAUCUCAAUCCAUCUAUAGAUUGGGAUAUAUUCUUACUAUUUUUUUAAAAAUAUUUUGAUUUUACUAUAUUUAUAAAUAAACCUUUUGAAACUAAUAAACUAAUAUUUUUAUCUAAUUAAACAAGAACAAUAAUUUUGACUACUAAUCUUAAUUAUAAGAUUUUUUUUCUUUUUGAGUGAGAAUUUGAGAUUUAAGAAUAACAUUAAAUAUUUUUAAAUAUAUCAAAAUGAACCAAAAUAUUUAUAAAAAUAGCAAAAUUUUAGAUUUUUAUUAUUAGAACUUUUAUGAAGUUUCAAUCUAACAACAAUUUAUCAUUUACAAUAAUUCUUCUAAAAAAUAGUUAUAUCUCUAACAAAAUUGAUGAUAAAAAUAAUAAAGCAACCUAUAUUGAUUAAUUAGUUUUUUUUAGUACAUUGGGAUUUGGGAUUUGAAUUGUCAACCUCAAAUUAAGCAAUUACACCAAAAUAGGCUUGCUUUGACAAUUAAUAAAAAUUGACCAUAUUUAAUUUAUAAGAAAAUUUAUUUUUAUCGGAAGAAAUGUUAUAAAUAGUCAAAAAAAAAUAUUAAAAGUAUUUAUAAAAUAUAGUAAGAAAGUAGCAUUUUUUUACAUCUUCAUUUAUUAAUAUUAAUUCUCAUUAAUAUUUAGAAAAUUUAUAAAAAUAGCAAAAAGAAAAUUUACGAUAAUAGGGUUCAAGUCACUUACACUUUUAAACUAGCAAAUAUAGCAGAUUAAAAUAUUUUUAUAUUUGUUAUAUUUACACUAUACAAAGAAAAGAGUUGCAUGAGUUAUAUCUACAAUUUCUUUAUUACACAUCUUUUUUUCUUAUUUCCCCCUUUCUUUCUCACAUAUUUUUCUAUUUAUUUUGUUAGUGUGAUCUAAAUAAACAAUUCCCUAACAAAUAAAUAAAUAAACACCGCCUAAAAACAUCGUUAUUUUCCAUUCAAUAUACACUAGUGUCAUUCCUAUAUUAAUUAGUUAAUAUUUUUUUUCAAGAUUUAUCAUAUGAUAACGAUUUCAUUUUGAAUUAUUAAUUUGUAGAUAUUGUUCUUAUUUAUUCACAUUUUUCAUUCCUUUUUCUGACCUUUUGAGAGAAAUGAUUUUAAAUUCUUAAUUAAUAUAUCAAUUUAUAACAACUGUCUUAAUCAUUUGUUUUUUCUUAAUACCUAUCCCUACCGACCUCUCUUUUGUAUUUUCCCUUUUUGAGAUACUGCAUCCCUUUUAUUUCAUACCUGUUUAGUUUGGGUGAAAAUAUGUCAAUCUAGUUGAGAUAGUUUGAGUUGAUCAUUCCUUCCCUCUAUCCUUAAUAUAUUGUUUAAAAAAUAAAAUAAAAAUUAAAUAACAUGAUUUAUGUCAUCGACAUAUUUAAUUAAGGUUUGGGCUUGAGUCCUCUCAAAUUUUAUGUCCGUAUAGAAAAGUUGUUUGAGGUGUAAAGUUGAGUUAAAGUUAGAGUUAGUAAUAAUUGUCUUUAUUUAACAUGUAUAGCUGAACUUAAUUGAUAAUAAUUGAUUGUGUUUUAAAGUAUAGAGUUGAGUUUGUUUGAUCUAAAAAGUUUUGUGUCGGGAUACGAAGAGUCAAAUUGUGUCCAGUUAUGGAUAUUUGAUACAUUUUUUUUUAACCUAAAAGAGCAUGCAUUUUUUUGGGGUUUUUUUUUUUUUUGUUCUUUUAAAUUGUUAUUGUUUUUUUCCCUUUAACCUUGUGUUCUACCAUUCAAUUCAAUGACUACACAUACUUUCCUAAAUUCUUAACACAAGUUUGAGAUGUGAACUCAAUAAAUAAAAAUUUAUUUUACAAUGCCCUACCUAUGACUAUAACAUUUAUUGUAGACAAAUUAAAAUGUUAUUAUUUUAUAUGAUCUACAAUAUAACUCUAUAUCAUGAGAUCCUGGAGCAUAUGAGUUUAACAUAUGGACGAUUGUCAUCAUAGAUCUAAAUAUAUGUUGAUAUAUGUUGUUCACCCAUCCACGCAUGCAUGGGUGUCAAGUAGUAGCAUUGUUCAUAAAAGUAUUAUAUAUUAUUUAUUAAGAUAAUGAAACUAGUUAAUCAUGUAUCAAAUAGACAUAAAUAAUACAACCUUUUCCUACACUAUAUUUAAACAACCACUUAUAUUUUUGUCUGACUUUACUUAAAUAAAUUUUAUUUUAAAAGUUAAUUACCAUUUUUUAAAAAUGCACAAAAGGUAAGUUUUUAGAUUUGAGUGUGUGUUUUAAAAAGGUCUCAUUCUUAUUUUUUGGUUGGCUUGCAUUUGACAGUAAUUCAAAAACUAGCUAGUUUAAUUAAUUUUUAUCAAUACCAAAUCUAUAUUUUUUCCCAAGAUUUAUCUUACGAUAACCAUCCCAUCUUGAAUUAUUAAUUUGUAGAUAUUAUUCUUAUUUAUUCACAAUUUUUAGUCCUUUUUCUGACAUUUUCAAAGAAAUGCUUUUUAAAUUCUUAAUUAAUAUAUCAGUUAAUUAUAACAACUGUCUCUUAUUUUCAUUUGUUUUCUCUUAAUAGAAUAUAAGUUUGGAGAUAUUCUCUAUCUACCUUCCUUUUGUAUUUUCUUUGGAAAUAAAAUAGUGCAUUGCUUUUGAUAUUGAAGUAUGCAUAUAUUUGUUAGGAAUAGGUCGACUGAGUUGAAAUAUGUUGAUGUGACUUACAUUUCCUCUACCUUUAAUAUAUUGUUUCAAAAAUAAAAUAAAUAAAAUAAAAUUACAUGAUACAUAUCUAACUAAGACAACUCGAGUCCUCUCAACUUUUAUGUGUAUAUAAAAUGUUGUUUGGUGUAAAAUUGAGUUAAGUUAGGUGGAUAAUAAUGGUGUGUAUUUGACCUACAUAGUUAGUUUAGUUGAUAACAAUUGUUUGUAUUCAACAUGUAAAAUUGAGUUCAAUUGAUUUUAAAAGUUUGUGUCUGCAGUACAAAAAGUUGGCUAUUUGAUACAUUCUUUCAAUCUGAAAAAACAUGUAUUUUUAUGAGAUUUUAUUGUUUUUUUCUUUCAACAUUUUAGUUAAAUUUUUAAGGGAGAAUACUUGAGAUGUGAACUCAAUAAAUAAAAAUUUAUAUUUUACAAUGUUCUAUCUACAACUAUUCCAUUAUGGUAGAGAAAAUAAAAUAUUAUUACUUAUAUAAUCUAUAACUCUACAUCAUGAUAAGUACGAAACAUAUGAGUUGAACGUUAAAAAAAAUAGAAUUGCCAUCAAAGAUCUAUUUACAUGUUCACACAGAUAUCCAUGUGCAUAUGAGCACACACACUAAUAUUGUUCAUAAAAAAUAUUGUUCAUUGAGAUAAUCAAACUAGUUAACCAUAUACUAAUUACACAUAAACCAUGCGCCUCUUUUCAUACUAUCAAUAAUGCUUUUGUUUAUUUGUUUUUAUUCGUGUUUGGACUUCUCUCUAGCUCUUUCUAUAUUUUUCUGCUUCUUGUAUCUAUUUUUAAUCAUUAAUGAAGUAGGAAUGAUAUAUGGUGCUAAAGAGGUGUUCCACCUACCAUAGAUGUUUAGGUGCACCUGUUGAUCCAAACCUAUUUUCUUUUUUUAAAAAACUUACAUUUGCAAACACCCAAUUAAUUAACUAAGUAAGACUAAUGAUUGAGAGAAGACUAAAUUUUAAAGGUUUGUCUUUCUGUACUACACCAGUUUUUUUUUUUGUUUUCUUUAUGUUAUUUAAUUUUUUUUUAAAAAGGUUAACUUUCAUAAAUAGUACUCGGAUAAAAUAUUUACAACCCGUAUCACAAAAUGAAGAAUUAAAGGCCACGAAAUUUACCAUUUUUUAAAAAAAUUUAAGGUUUGCUCUUUCAUAUCAUCUUUUUCUUCUAUUAUCUUCUACGAUUUUUUUUUCUUUUCCUCUUUUGCGAUAUUUUUUCUUUUCCUCUUUUGCGAUUUUUUCUUCCCAUCAUCUUUUUCUCUUCUUCAAUUUAUUAAAAAUAUUUUCAUUUGUUCUUCGCUUUCAUAUUCUUUUCUAUGCAAUUCUUCUUUUUCUUUCCAUUGUUUUUUCUCCUCUUUAAUUUUUUCUCUUUUCCUUCCCAUCAUCUUUUCUUUCUAUGAUAAAUUUUUAUAUUAUUUUCAAAUUGUUAUUUGCUUCAAGAUCUUGCUAUUUUUUUCAAACUGUUAUUUGAUUUUUUAAGAUCGUGUGCCAAAUAUAAAAGAUCGUGAAAAAAAAAUCGUGGAAAUUUGGCUACCAUAAUUUAAACUAUCAAUUCUAAACGAUUUUGUGUCAAAUGUAAACAAUCGCGUACCAAUUUUUUUUGUUGAAAAAAUUCAUUUAGAUUGGACUACGCAUAUUUAAACGAUUAAAGUAAAUGAUAGUGUGAGAAAUCUAAACGAUCACAUACCAAAAAAUCUUGAAAAAAAUUGUUUAGAUCUGGGUGUUUAGAUUUGAUUAUCCAAAUCUAAAUGAUCAUUUUCCAAAUAUAUUACGUCCAUUGGACGUCAAUUCAUCAAAGAGCAUUUUUGGUAUUUUCCAUUAUGGGCCUGUGGGUUUUUUUCGUUUUCGAAAUUGUUAUAUACAAUAUAAAUAUUUUAUUGCUUUGUUCAAUAUUUAAAAAGACAAAAAAAAAAAAAAAAAAAAACAAAGAAACAAAAAAACAAAAAACAAAAACAAAUUGUUCAUUUAAGAAAUUAUUAUAAACAAUACAAGCGUUAUAGGUACUGUUAAACUUCUAUUAAUAUCUAUCAGUGAUUUAGAUAGACAUGAAUAUAAGUCUCGAUCAGUAUUUAUCUAUAAUAUAUAAUUUUGCUAUAUAUCGUAAAUAUUUUGGUUCAUUUUGCUAUAUUUGAAAAUACGUCCGUUCUUUAACGAUAUAUAUAUAUAUAAAUUCUAACACAUUCUAAUAGAUCUAUUGGUGUGAGAUUUUUUUUACGAGUUACUGUUUUAGUAUGUUUUAGUAUGUUUAAAGGAGAAUAUUUUUUCUGAAACUUCGUGAGAUUUUAUGUUUAAUCAAAGUUUAAAAUAUCGAAGGAGCAUUUUUAAAAUUAGCAAAAUAAAUUAAAAUAUUUAGCAAAAUUUUGUAUUCUAUCAAUGACAGAAACGGAUAAACUUCUAUCACUGUAUUUCAAUGCCACUUAUAGAAACAUAUCAGUGUCUAUCACUGACUUUUUAGAUUUGAAGCAUUUUUCCAUCACGAUCAUGUGGAUAUGAUCUAAGCGAUCACUUACCAUAGUCUACACGAUCAUUUAGUAUGGUCAACACAAUCGUUAGAUUUGAAAUAUUUUUUCUAUCGUUAAAAAGAAUUACACUAUCGUGUUGAUAAUACCUACAUAAUUGUGUAUACCUAUAAGAUCGUAUAUCAUAUCCUUUAGAAGAAAAAUUACACCCGCGCUUGUGGCCGAUUAAUCGCGUGUUGACUUAAUCAUUUUUUUUUGUAUUUUCCAAUAUUGUAGGCUUGUGGGUUUUUUCUGUUUUCAAAAUUGUUCUAUAUAAUGUAAAUAAUUUGCCGGUUUGUUAUAUUUUUUAAAAAACCCUAAUUUUAACAAUUUUCGAAAGUUUAAGAAUAUUUUUUAAACUUUUGAAAGUUUAGGGAUAUUUUUGACAACGUAGGUAUUUUUUUUAUUUUUGUAAUUUAGCUUUUAUUUUUUAUAUACCUUUUAAAAUCAAUUUAUAGACUUUGACUCGGCGUUAUCAUUUCUUAAUUAACUCAAAUUGAUCCAAAUAAAAUAAAUUAUUAUUAUUUUAAUAGACUCAUAACCCAAGUUUCAUUUGUUAAUAGUUGAGUUUUACAUUGUCCAAUUAAUUAAAAGCAUAGGAAGGAGGGGUUUUAUUAGUAUUAUUAUUUUUUCUAUUUUCUAUUGUCCAAAUAUGUUUUUUGAAAGGAAGGGGUAGUUGGAAUAUGAAUAAAUGGGAGUAGUAUAAAUACCAAACUUUCAAAACAUAUAUAUUGUACUAAAAGCAUUCCAUAUAGCAAUAAGUUUAUCAAUAUUACAAGUAAGUAAACAAUAUCUAAAAUGGCUUCUGAUCUCGUGCCCGGCGGCUAUACUCCAGUUGAGAAUCCUCAAAGUUCACGCAUGAAAGAAUUAGCAGAAUGGGCAGUAGCAGAGCACAACAAAAAGCGGGGACACACUUGAUGUUCAUUGGUAUAUUGACUUGUGAGUCACAAAUUGUGGAUGGAGUCAAUUACCGCUUUACCUUGACGGCUAAGGAUGAAAAAGAUAAUUGUGAGAUUGAAAGCUAUAUGGCUGUUGUCUUUGAGCAACCAUGGGAGCAUAUCAAGGAGCUCGUUUACUUUCAGAAACUCUUAUUGGCUGAACAAUGAAUAUAUAACAAAAUUACUCCUACUUUUAAUUAACCUGCUUUAAUGCGUUAUCAUACGUAUGUGUGGCGUACUCCCUUUAUGGUCCAUCUAUAGAAGGGAUAGCAAAAUAAAAGCUCUCCUAGUUAAUUGCACUUCCAGAAGUGUAGGUGCAAUGUUGUUGGGUUAGUUAAGUUGGUAAUUGUUAUUGUUUGUAUCCAUGGUGGAGUGAAGAGUGAUGUUGAGUGUUGGUAAUAAUAAUUGUUUGUGUUUGGAGUGUAGAGUUGAGUUGGUUUGAUUUUAUAAGAAGUUUGUGUGUGGUGUAUGAAUAUUUGAUGCAUUUCUAACUUCUUGUGAUCUAAAAAUAAACAUGCACUUCUAUGGGUUUCUUAGUAAUUAUUUUAUAUUAUAUUAUUGCUAUUGCAUGCUAUUGUUUCC
rnacentral:lncRNA from 1 species